rnacentral:tRNA from 1 species
GCAGCAGUGGUUCAGUGGUAGAAUUCUCGCCUUCCGUGUGGGAGACCUGGGUUCAAUUCCUAGUCAAUGUG